GUAGGGUGCGAGCGUUGUCCGGAAUUAUUGGGCGUAAAGGGCUCGUAGGCGGUCUGUUGCGUCGGGAGUGAAAACCCAGGGCUUAACUCUGGGCUUGCUCCCGAUACGGGCUGACUAGAGGUAUGCAGGGGAGAACGGAAUUCCUGGUGUAGCGGUGAAAUGCGCAGAUAUCAGGAGGAACACCGGUGGCGAAGGCGGUUCUCUGGGCAUUACCUGACGCUGAGGAGCGAAAGUGUGGGGAGCGAACAGGAUUAGAUACCCUGGUAGUCCACACCGUAAACGUUGGGCGCUAGGUGUGGGACUCAUUCCACGAGUUCCGUGCCGCAGCUAACGCAUUAAGCGCCCCGCCUGGGGAGUACGGCCGCAAGGCUAAA
rnacentral:rRNA from 1 species